rnacentral:rRNA from 1 species
AGUGAACGCUGGCGGUAGGCCUAACACAUGCAAGUCGAACGGCAGCACAGUAAGAGCUUGCUCUUACGGGUGGCGAGUGGCGGACGGGUGAGGAAUACAUCGGAAUCUACUUUUUCGUGGGGGAUAACGUAGGGAAACUUACGCUAAUACCGCAUACGACCUACGGGUGAAAGCGGGGGAUCUUCGGACCUUGCGCGAUUGAAUGAGCCGAUGUCGGAUUAGCUAGUUGGCGGGUAAAGGCCCACCAAGGCGACGAUCCGUAGCUGGUCUGAGAGGAUGAUCAGCCACACUGGAACUGAGACACGGUCCAGACUCCUACGGGAGGCAGCAGUGGGGAAUAUUGGACAAUGGGCGCAAGCCUGAUCCAGCCAUACCGCGUGGGUGAAGAAGGCCUUCGGGUUGUAAAGCCCUUUUGUUGGGAAAGAAAAGCAGCAGGUUAAUACCCCGCUGUUCUGACGGUACCCAAAGAAUAAGCACCGGCUAACUUCGUG